CCUACGGGUGGCAGCAGUGAGGAAUAUUGGUCAAUGGACGAGAGUCUGAACCAGCCAAGUAGCGUGAAGGAUGACUGCCCUAUGGGUUGUAAACUUCUUUUAUAAAGGAAUAAAACGAGGCACGUGUGCCUUUUUGCAUGUACUUUAUGAAUAAGGAUCGGCUAACUCCGUGCCAGCAGCCGCGGUAAUACGGAGGAUCCGAGCGUUAUCCGGAUUUAUGGGGUUUAAAGGGGGCGCAGAUGGGUUGUUAAGUCAGUUGCGAAAGUUUGCGGCUCAACCGUAAAAUUGCAAUUGAUACUGGCAGUCUUGAGUACAGUUGAGGUAAGCGGAAUUCGUGGUGUAGCGGUGAAAUGCUUAGAUAUCACGAAGAACCACGAUUGCGAAGGCAGCUUACUAAACUGUGACUGACAUUGAUGCUCGAAAGUGUGGGUAUCAAACAGGAUUAGAUACCCCGGUAGUC
rnacentral:rRNA from 1 species